rnacentral:lncRNA from 1 species
UUUUUUAAGAGACUAAAUAGAAGACUAUUUUACAUUUGUUCUCCUUGACUGCUGAUGGAUUCGAUCCAUCUAGAACGUGACUUGGCUACUACGAUUGAAUGGAGCCGGAGGUAAACCGGCAUUUGCUGCUCCAGGAUAUGGCGGUAUAUAAAGGAUUGUACCAUUUUUUUGAUGAGUUAUGUCUGAGAUCAAUAGAGCUAGGGAUUGAAUUACAUCUUUUG